CACGUAGGGCGCAAGCGUUGUCCGGAAUUAUUGGGCGUAAAGAGCUCGUAGGCGGUCUGUUGCGUCCGCUGUGAAAACUCGGGGCUUAACCCCGAGCCUGCAGUGGAUACGGGCAGACUAGAGGUAGGUAGGGGAGAAUGGAAUUCCCGGUGUAGCGGUGAAAUGCGCAGAUAUCGUAAGGAAGACCAGUGGCGAAGGCGGGUCUCUGGACAGUUCCUGACACUGAGGCACGAAGGCCAGGGGAGCAAGCGGG
rnacentral:rRNA from 1 species